AUAAAGACUCAGCAGAACGGGUUAAUUUGGGUGCAGCAUCUUCUAAGGAAGGUUCAACUGAAUUCCCCAGGUCUCCAUUUUCAUGUCCAUCAAUACUUGGUUUCUUAUCAAACACUUGUGAAGGUUUGACGUCCACAUUUACUUCUUUCCUAUUGGAACCUGAAUUUGCUCCUUCUUCCAAUUCAUCAAGAUACAAACGAUAACGGUGUCCACUCUCAUCCUCAUAUUCUACGUUUUCAUCAUCCGAAUCAACUUCUGGAGCAACAUACACUACUUCAAAUUCAAUCUCGCCUCUCUGUUGGGAAAGGAUAGUUACAGCUUCUUUAUGUUUGGCAUCUCUUAGAUUAACUCCAUUUACUGCCAGAAUAGCAUCACCAACAUGUAGUCCUCCACAUCGAUCAGCAGGUUGCCCAGGAUGGAUUUCAGAGAUCAGUAUUGGAACACCGUGCUCCUUCCCACCUGUGAUUGAAAUUCCUAGUCCUUCAUGGUCUUCUUUGACUAGCAAAACUUUUCUGAUUGGACCAACACCUUGACUCUUCUUUAAGGCAUCUGGAUCAUGUCCUGGUGGUGCUUGCAUUGGUCGUUUUAGAUCAUUCCUACCUCGACAAGCUCUAAUAACAGUUUUGUGACGGUGAAGGUGUAUUUCUGCUUCAAGCUGAUUCCAGAGCUUGUCAUGAGCAGGUCCC
rnacentral:lncRNA from 1 species